rnacentral:lncRNA from 1 species
CUGAACGUCACAUGCUAAUGUAAAAAGCUGUUUUUUGAUAUAAAUAUGAACUUGAUUGAACAAAACAUGCAUGUAUUGUAUAACAUAAUGUCCUAGGUGUGUCAUCUGAUGAAGAUCAUCAAAGGUUAGUGCUGCAUUUAGCUGUCUUCUGGGUUUUUGUGACAUUAUAUGCUAGCUUGAAAAAUGGGUGUCUGAUUAUUUCUGGCUUGGUACUCUGCUGACAUAAUCUAAUGUUUUGCUUUCGCUGUAAAGCCUUUUUGAAAUCGGACAGUGUGGUUAGAUAAAGGAGAGUCUUGUCUUUAAAAUGCUAUGAAAUAGUCAUAUGUUUGAAAAAUUGAAGUUUUUGUAUUUUUGAGGAAUUUGUAAUUCGCGCCACGCCUAUCAUUGGAUAUUGGAGCAGGUGUUCCGCUAGCGGAACGUCUAGAUGUAAGAGGUUAAGACCCCACUCAACACGCUGCGCCUUGGUCUACUCCUUCAGACAGCCGUUACAGAACCACCCACCACAAGAAGACCAAGCAGCGUGGUAUGGAGGAACAGAGGGUUAUGGACUCCUGGACUUGGGAGAUAAUCCUGGAUGGGGCAGGACCCUGGACAACGCCUGGGGAGUACCGGCCGUCCGCAGUGGGAGAUCGAGGCAGCUAAAGUGGAACGCCGAUACUGGGAGAAACAGGCAAAUCAACAAGGCAGGCACGAGAGGCAGCCCAAAUGUUUUUUUUUGGGGGGGGGGUGCACAGGCAAUAGACCUGAGCCAACUCCCCGUGCUUACCAUGGGGAGCGGUUGACGUGGGGAGCACCGUGCUAUGCGGAAGUGCGCACGGUCUCGCCCAUCCGCAUGCCCAGUCCGGUGCGGUCGAUACCAGCCCCCCGCAAGUGCUGUGCUAGAGUGGGCAUCCAGCCAGGGAGAAGUGCGCCGGCGCAGCACAUCUGGCCACCUGUGCGUCUCCUAGGUCCAGCCUACCCUGCGCCUGCUCUACGCACGGCAGCCCUCAAUCUCCAGCACAGCCCAGUUUGCCCUGAGCCAGGGCUUCACCCGUGCCGGGUUACAGUGACAACUCAGCCAGGAUGGGUUGUGCAGGCCGUGCGCUCCAGACCUCCAGUGCGUCUCCAGGACCCGGUCUAUCCGGUGCCUGCUCCCAGAGCCAGGCCUCCUGCAUGUCUCCCCAGCCUGGUGAGUCCUGUGCCUGCACCCAGAGCCAGGCCUCCUGCAAGUCUCCCCAGCCUGGUGAAUCCUGUGCCUGCUCCCGGAGCCAGGCCUCCUGCAUGUCUCCCCAGUCUGGUGAGUCCUGUGCCUGAGUUGCCCGCCAGUCCGGAGCUGCCAGAGUUGCCCGCCAGUCCGGAGCUGCCAGAGUCGCCCGCCUGUCCGGAGCUGCCAGAGUCGCCCGCCUGUCCGGAGCUGCCAGAGUCGCCCGCCUGUCCGGAGCUGCCAGAGUCGCCCGCCUGUCCGGAGCUGCCAGAGUCGCCCGCCUGUCCGGAGCCGACAGCGAGGGUCCCCACUCCAGAGGCGCCACCAAAGUGGGGUGAGCCAGUGGUGGAGCGGGGUUUGUGUCCCCCCUCCUGAGCCACCUCCGUAGGGGGGAGGAUUGGGAAGGGGGGGGGUGUUGCACAAGAACCGUCGUUGACUGUGGCCAGCCUCCCUUCCCUCCCUUUAGGUCUGGAGUUGUUUUUGUGUUUUUUUUUUGUUUGAGGUGCAUUUCGGUGUCUGCACCUUUGGGGGGGUACUGUCACGUCCUGACCAGUAAGGGGUCAGUUUGUUAUUAUAGUUUGGUCAGGGCGUGGCAGGGGGUGUAUGUUUUGUGGUUUUUGGGUUGAUCUAUGUUAUUCUAUUUCCAUGUUUAAAUAUCUAGUUUUUCUGUUUCUAUGUUGGAAUUGUUUGGGGUUGGUCUCUAAUUGAAUCAGCUGAAUCUCAUUGCCUCUGAUUAGAGACCAUAUUUAUGUAGGGGUUUUCUCAUUGUGUUUUGUGGGGGGUUAUUUUAUGUUUAGUUCAUGUUAACCUGACAGAACUGCUGGCUGUCGUUUUCUUGUUUUGUUUAUAGUGUGUCAG